UACGAAGGGGGCUAGCGUUGCUCGGAAUCACUGGGCGUAAAGGGUGCGUAGGCGGGUCUUUAAGUCAGGGGUGAAAUCCUGGAGCUCAACUCCAGAACUGCCUUUGAUAUUGAAGAUCUUGAGUUCGGGAGAGGUGAGUGGAACUGCGAGUGUAGAGGUGAAAUUCGUAGAUAUUCGCAAGAACACCAGUGGCGAAGGCGGCUCACUGGCCCGAUACUGACGCUGAGGCACGGAAGCGUGGGGAGCAAACAGG
rnacentral:rRNA from 1 species